GGUAGUCUCGCACAGAUGCAUAUCAAUAAGCGGAGGAAAAGAAACUAACUAGGAUUCCCUCAGUAACGGCGAGUGAAGCGGGAAGAGCUCAAAUUUGAAAUCUUCAAGGUUCUACCUUGACGAAUUGUAGUUUAAAGAAGUGUUUUCUGUUGGAGUUUUGGUAAAAGUUCUUUGGAAUAGGACAUCAUAGAGGGUGAGAAUCCCGUAUUUGACCAUUAUUUCCAGCUUUGUGAUACACUUUCAAAGAGUCGGAUUGUUUGGGAAUGCAGUCCAAAAUGGGUGGUAAAUUUCAUCUAAAGCUAAAUACUGGCGAGAGACCGAUAGCGAACAAGUACCGUGAGGGAAAGAUGAAAAGAACUUUGAAAAGAGAGUUAAACAGUACGUGAAAUUGUCAAAAGGGAAGCGUUUGACACCAGUGUUGUUUUUCUGAAAACCAAUUAAAAGAAGGCAGGAUUUUGUGUUGUAUUGACUUUAUCAGCUUUCUGCACUCUUUUCUUGUCUUUUUUAAUGCACUUUUCGUUUAACAAGUCAACAUCAAUUUCUUUUGUUGUAAAAGGGUCAUUGGAAGGUGGCUUUCUUUUCGGAGAAAGUGUUUAUAGCCUUUGGCCUCUGCAAUCGGAGAGAUUGAGGUCUGCAGCGUAGAUCCUUCGGGGUUAGAUACAUUUGUGCUAAGUUAUAGCCUUUCAUAGACAACUUGUUGACUAUGAUCAGUCAUGUAGCUUACUCGCUUAUGCUAUUUUACCUACGCUUAGGAUGUUGAAGUCAUCGUAUCGCGC
rnacentral:rRNA from 1 species